GUCUGUGUUUUUUUUUUUUUUUUUUUUUUUGUCAUGGCAGCCCAGAGCUGACAAAUACACUAUAGUACUUUAACUCCAUUCCAUGCAGUAACAAGUUAAAUGUUAGAAUGUGAGGAUUUUAUUUUUAGUUCAAUUAUUAUCUUACUAUUUAACCUUAAAAAUCCAUUUUUCCACCUCAUUCACCACAGUGAUUUGCAAGAUAUCUGAAUUAGACAAUAACUUUAAUGAGCCUUAUUUCUUUCAAGUAUACAGAUUCGACAGUGUCAGAGGAGAGCUUAAUGAUCAUCCAGUAAAAAUGAUUUAUUUUAUAAAUGAGAAAAUUGAAGUCCAAAGAGCUAUUUGGUCUUAGGGCCUAGAUGAAAGCCAAUAUCCCUGGAUCCUCAAUCCUGCUGAUUGUUUCCUGAUGCCAACGUAUGGCACCAACUCCAAGUUCUCGACUGCCUAGAAGCCAGCUGGUUGGAAUACAGCUAUAUUGAUCCCCAUUUUAUUAUUCACUGAGCGGAAGGGAGAGGUGGGCAGGCUGGCCAGGGCUGAGUUGCUGUGCAGAAUCCUCAGAAUCAAACGGAAGAUUCUCCUAUGGUGGAGACACGAAGAUAAAUUUAAGGAAAAUGUAUGAGGAGGGAGCAUUUUACAGUGAACAGAGUUCAGGCUUUGGACACCAGGCCUUCCUUGGCUGCCUCUAUCCUGGGCAACUUACAUCAAUUCUCUGUGCCUCAGCUUACAAUUACUGAGUGACUUCCUAUAAAAGUCACAGAAGACUGCCCGUCAGAGGAGAGAAGGCGCUGACGUUCUUGCCAGAUGCGGUGUGACAGGUGGUGUCUAGAAGUUUCCCUGUGCCAUUUUGUUCCUCUGCACGAGAGGUCAGCCUGAUUGUGAUGAGGAGGAGCUCAGAUUUUGAGAAGUUAACUAGACCUUCCAGACCUCAGCUGAGAACCAGAGCACAGAUGGGUAAGGAAGCAGCCAAGGCCGUGAGUGCCAGCCCACACAUUGGGUUUUGCUGGCCAGACCAAUUUCUUGGGUCACCUAUUGGAAAAUGGAUCACUAAAAGGAAGGCUGGUCGGAGGGGUGUGGACAAAUGUCUCCCUGCUCCGCCAUGAGAUCACAUCCCCUUUUGCAGACCCCGACGGUCCGGGACGGACAGCCUCUUUCCUAUGGGCUCUAGGCAAGCUCUACUUGAAAAUCAGACAUUUGUGUGGACAACUAUGUGUGUGCAUGUGUGUGUGUGAGAGAGAGAGAGAGAGAGAAAGAGAGAAGAGGGAGGGAGAGGUGAGUCAUUAAAAAGUGGUUCAGCUAAAUAAAGGAUCUCAUUAUGU